rnacentral:rRNA from 1 species
CACGGAGGGGGCUAGCGUUGUUCGGAAUGACUGGGCGUAAAGCGCGCGUAGGCGGUUCGGUAAGUUGGAUGUGAAAGCCCGGGGCUCAACUCCGGAUGGGCGUUCAAGACUGCCGAACUUGAGACCGAGAGAGGAGAGUGGAAUUCCCAGUGUAGAGGUGAAAUUCGUAGAUAUUGGGAAGAACACCAGUGGCGAAGGUGGCUCUCGGGCUCGGUUCUGACGCUGAGGUGCGAAAGCGUGGGGAGCAAACAGG